rnacentral:tRNA from 1 species
GGUGCCGUAGCUUAGUUGGUUAAAGCGCCUGUCUUGUAAACAGGAGAUUGCGAGUUCGAAUCUCGUCGGUGCCU